GUGCCUUUCCCAAGUCAGGAGCCUGUAAUUCAGUGGUUGUCGUUUGGUUAUGUGUUACAUAUUUGUUUUUCGUUCAUUUUUCUUUUAUAUAAUAAGGCCGUUAUUUUCUCGUUUGAAUUGUUUUACAUUGUCUUAUCGGGGCCUUUUAUAGCUGACUAUGCGGUAUGGGCUUUGCUCAUUGUUGAAGGCCGUACGGCGACCUAUAAUUGUUAAUGUCUGCGUUAUUU
rnacentral:lncRNA from 1 species